ensembl:lncRNA
UGGGUGAACUAUAUCUUUCAAUUAUGUGUGUAUAUUUGUGCCACAGGCUUUGGGCCCAUAUUUGAGGAGGAGCCCUUGGACACAGUGUAUGCGGAGGAUUCACCAGAGAACAAAAUCUCCAUGAACUGCAGAGCACAGGCCUACCCUCCGGCCAUUAUCAAGUGGUGGUUAAACAACUGGGAAAUUAAACUGAUGGAGCAACCUGAUGAGCACUUUAGCCUGGUGGGAGGAAACCUGGUCAUCACCAACCCAGACAAGAGCAAGCAUGCUGGGAAAUAUGUGUGUGUGGCUAAGAACGUGUACGGCACUGUCAUCAGCAAAGAGGCCACUGUCAAAUUUGGAUACCUAAACCAGUUCCCUACAGAUGAGAGAGAGCCGGUGCAUGUUAAGGAGGGACAAGGAGCAGUGCUGCUGUGUUCUCCUCCCUCUCGCUAUCCAAGUGAGGUGAUGUUCCGCUGGAUCUACAAUGACUUCCCAAACUUCAUCAUACCAGACCAGAGGCGUUUCGUGUCACAGACCACUGGCAAUAUGUACAUCGCUAAAGUCGAGGCAUCUGAUGUUGGGAAUUAUUCUUGUUUCGUGUCAAGCCCCACCAUCGGCAAGAGUGUUUUCAGCAUGCCGAUUUCUCUGAUUCCACAAAUAGAGAGUGAGCAGGAGGUGAAGCGGUAUCCUGCUGAUAUCCGUGUGAAAUUUCCCAAGACUUAUGCUUUGGUGCAUCAGAACAUCACUCUGGAGUGCUUUGCCCUUGGAAAUCCGCUCCCACACAUCCGCUGGAGGAAGUUAGACGCUGAUCUCCCGCCCAACUAUGAGGUCAGCAUGAAUGGAGCUUUACUGCACCUGAUUAACGUUCAGUACGAGGAUGAAGGGAGCUACGAGUGUGAGACGCUCAACGUUAAAGGGAUGGACUGGUAUCGACAGUGGCUCUAUGUGGAAGGUAAAACAAGCUCUAACAACAAAAAUGUUGGUAGCGAACUCACUCUCAGGUGUGUUGCCGUGGGGAAGCCUUUACCAUGGAUACGCUGGCUGAAGGAUGGCUAUUCGUAUGGCAAAGGGGAGCUGAAGUUCUCCAGUCUCACGUUUGAGGAUUCGGGCAUGUAUCAGUGUAUUGCUGAGAAUGAAUGGGGGACCAUCUAUGCUAGCGCGGAGCUUCGGGUUGUCUCCUGUGCACCAACAUUCAUUUAUAAUCCAGUGAAGAAGGUUCUGCUCGGGGCUGAAAACGGUCGUGUGGUUAUAGAGUGCAAACCCAGCGCUGCUCCUAAACCCAAGUUCAUCUGGAAACGAGGCUCAGAGCUGCUGACCAACUCUUCAAGGAUGUUAAUUUGGGAUGAUGGAAGUCUGGAGAUUCUGAACGUGUCAAAAAGUGACGAGGGCUCGUACACAUGCUAUGCUGAGAAUGACCGCGGCAAAUCCAACAGCACAGGGACCCUCACUAUCACCGAGGCCACCAAAAUCACAGAGGCUCCAUCAGACACUGAGGCAGUUGUAGGUGACACUACAAUUCUCCAGUGUUCUGCAUCAUUUGAUCCCAGCCUGGACAUCACCUUUAUCUGGACUGUUGAUUCCUACGUCAUCAACUUCUACACAGACUUUGAACACUACGAACAAGCAGUUUCACUGUUUGUGUGUGUGUUUUUGCAGGGUGACGAGAACAGCGGAGACCUGCUGAUCAAGAACAUCCAGGUGAGGCACGCAGGACACUAUUCCUGCACAGCUCAGACCAUAGUGGACAAUGCCACCGCAGAAGCUGAUGUUUUUGUCAAAGGUCUGCCUGGUCCUCCAGGUGGUGUCCGUGUGGAAGAGAUUGGAGACACGUCAGUAAAACUACGAUGGAGUCUGGGAUCAGACCACGGUAGUCCUUUUAUCCAACAGAGAACAAAUAUUGUUUUCCCAGCUCCUGUGUUUUUGGACGGAUCUACAGAGUCAGCCACCAUAGUUGACCUUUACCCCUGGAUGCAAUAUGAAUUCCGUGUGCAUGCAAUCAAUGAAUUUGGAGCUGGGGAAAACAGCCGUCCGUCCAUCAAAAUCAAGACAUGGGACGCCAGGCCUACAGUAGCUCCUUCUGAUGUACUGGGGCAAGUUGGAAUAAGCGGAGAGCUUAUCGUGACCUGGACUCCUGUAAAGCCUCAGUUCUUCUUUGGUAAAAAAUUUGGCUACGUCGUGGCGUUUAAGCAGCAUGAGGAUUCUGAAUGGAAGUGGACGACUGUGGAGGAUCCCGAGACUAGACGCUACGUCUACAAAGAUAGCAUGACCCCAGACACUGAGAUACAGGUCAAAGUGAAAACCUACAAUAACAAAGGAGAAGGACCCUCAAGUCUUAUAUCAGUGGUCGACUCACCAAGGCUAGCACCCACUGAAGCUCCAUUAGAUGUCUACGCCCGCCAGGUCACCGCUACAGAAGCUUUGGUCUGGUGGUUACCGAUCUACCAGGCACCGCCAAACUGGGUCGAUGGAUACCAGAUUCGUUACUGGAGGAAGUACGAUGAUAAUGAAGCUGCUGCCUCUCGAGUUCUUGUGCAUAGAGCAAUUAACCAAACUCGCCUGGAGAACAUGCGGCCUGACUCCCACUACCUCAUAGAGGUACGAGCGUUCAACGGAGCUGGGCUCGGGCCACCCAGCGAGCAUUGUGAAAUGUUCACCAGGAGACCACCCCCAAGUCGCCAUUUGAGAGUCUACAAAUAUGUCAGCUUUAAUCGCAAAUGGCUCUAUCUAUAUUGGGAUCACAUCUAUAACUACUGGAAUGAGUCAUAUGUGGAGGGAUACAAGAUUUUGUUCAGGAAGGAAGGAGAGCGUUAUGGGAAGCUUUACACCACAGGCAGACACUACAUUGACUUUCCCAUGCCAGAGACAGGUGAUUACAUCAUAGAGGUCCGAGCCCGCUGCGAGGGAGGUGAUGGACCCAUAUCACAGAUCAGAGUGCAAGGUGAAUACUGUCUUUUACAUAUCAGUAAGGAUUUCAUUUUUUAUCAACCUCAUUCAUCAUGUUCCUACCCUAAUCAUGUUCUAAUAAUUACAAAAUGAUAUCUGAAGUUCUGCAUAGUUUAAAGUAUAUAUUCACUACAAGAACUGAAAUAAGUUUCACAUAGUCAUAGAUGCAUAGAUGCAGUUACACAAUUGUAACCUUUAUUCAUACUGAUCUUUCUUACCAUUGUUUUGUAUUAUGUUCAGGGAAAGCCGCUUUGGGUGCUGAAUCUCUCAGCGUCGCCUCUGUCUUGCUGCUGGCACUGGGAUGGAUGAAUUUAGGCCUGUAGGCAUAAACAGCUGUCAACACUUUUGGCGAAAUUCACUUCUAAGAAACAAUCUUUAUAUAUUUUGAGUGCAUUUCCUUAAAGCGGUGGUUUUCGUGGUGUAGAUGAAGUUUGUUUGGGAGUGUAGAAUAUAAAGAAUUUAUACCCUCUUGGUUUGCCUUACAAACUACAGUACCCGCAAUCAACUAAUGAAACGUAUUGUAAAAUAAAUGUGGUGGCAGGGUAUGGUGAACUUUUUUG